GAUGAAGGAACGCAGCGAAAUGCGAUACGUAAUGUGAAUUGCAGAUUUCAGUGAAUCAUCGAAUCUUUGAACGCACAUUGCGCCCGCCAGUAUUCUGGCGGGCAUGCCUGUUCGAGCGUCAUUUCAACCAUCAAGCCUUCGCUUGUGUUGGGGCCCCGCGGCUGCCGCGGUCCCCUAAAUCCAGUGGCGGGCUCGUCGUCGUACCGAGCGCAGUAGACAUCCUCGCUCCGGGAACCCGACGGGUGCCGGCCGUGAAACCCCCCACAUCAAGGUUGACCUCGGAUCAGGUAGGAAUACCCGCUGAACUUAAGCAUAUCAAUAAGCGGAGGA
rnacentral:misc_RNA from 1 species